CCCUACAACCAUACCACCUGAACAGGCCCAAUCUCAUCUGAUCUCAGAAGCUAAGCAGGGUUGGGCCUGGUAACACUUGGAGCGUGAGACUGCUUGGGAAUACCAGGUUGCUGUGUCUU
rnacentral:rRNA from 1 species